UCAUGUGAUAUGAUUCUACUACUGCUGGUACUAGUGAAUUUGACCAAUACCAUUGGAACUAUGCUAGUCCGUUUAUAUAGGGCCACCCUGUAUUAUGUACAUUAUUUUUUACGUGCAAUGCUGUACAGUUCAUUUUAGUGUAGCAAAAGCACCAUGGCAAGUGACUCCAAUUUGGAAUAAUAAUCAUUUUAGGCUAAUCGCCUCUCAUCACGUUGAUAUUAUGUAUUCACAAUUUAGAUGUGCCGCAUGAGAAUCCAAAUGCCAAAUCAACUCCGAAAGAAUCUGCAUCGUCCAAAGGCAAAGCUGAACCAACUGAUGUUGGACGGGGAACAUCCAAAUCAUCUCAGCUCCCCGAAGAGCUGACGAGAAGCGGGCAUCAUCUUGAAACAAUAGGUUCAACAUCACCUGAGCCUGCAGACACAAAGGAUAGAAGUAGUCCUACUGA